GGGGGUAGGAGGUGGUGCCAGUUUCCUACGGUGGAAACCCAAGGAAGGCACGAAGCAGGUGUGCUUUGGAAGGAACAGUUCUGGCGCAGCGCCUCUUCCUGUCGGCCCCCUUCUACAGUGCGCCUGGACACAGGGUGACGGCGCAGAGCUGCGCGGGCAUCCCCAGCUCCGUGGCUCCGGCUCAGGUCGGCUGAGAGGCCUGGAUCGAGGCACGCUGUCCCCGCGCCGCCCGCACUGCCAAGGGCAAGGGCACGGCCGUGACCGGAAAUGUAACAGGACCCACUGUGCACCUGCACUCUUCUAGACUCAGACGGUUCCACAGGGAACAAAACAAGAGAUUUUGGCCUCUUAGGACACCAGCGAGAGCACCUCCAGGAGAAGCCAGCAGGGCGACAGGAAUGGCCCCUCGAAGGAGGUGACACCUGAGCAGAGACCUGAGGGAGACUUCGUCCAUCUGAAAUGAAUUUGGCAGAAUGACACUCUCUUUCUUGUGAAAUCCAGUCCUGCCUUGGGAUCCACAGAUGCCCCGACAUGUCCUACCUUCCCCGUCCCUUGGUCCCUCAUUCAGUCACUCUACAAGUAUGUUUUGAGCCUUUGUUAGGCACCAAACACUGGUGAUCCUGCUUUGAAUAGAUCAUGUCCCUGUGCUGGGAAAGAUGCGUUCAAUGGAGGAGACAGGGAGCAAACAAACAAACAAACAAACGGUGCUGUGGCUUGGAUGUGUGUCCCCUCCUAAUCUCAUGUUGAAAUGUGACCCCCAGUGUUGGAAGUGGGCUUAGCUGGAGGUGUUGAGUCAUGGGGGUGGAUCCCUCAUGAAUGGGUCAGCCCUGCCCCUUGGCCAUGAGUGGUAGCGAGAUGCCAGAGCUGAUUGUUUAAAAGAGCCUGAGGCCGGGUACUGUGGCUCAUGCCUGUAAUCCCAGCACUUUGGGAGGCCGAGGCGGGCGAAUCACGAGGGCAGGAGAUCAAGACCAUCCUGGCUAUGGUGAAACCCCGUCUCUACUAAAAAUACAAAAAAUUAGCCAGGCGUGGUGGUGGGCACCUGUAGACCCAGCUACUCCAGAGGCUGAGGCAGGAGAAUGGCGUGAACCCGGGAGGCGGAGCUUGCAGUGAGCCGAGAUCCCGCCGCUGCAUUCUAGCCUGGGCGACAGAACGAGACUCUGUCUCAAUUAAAAAAAAAAAGAAAAAAAAAUUGCCUGGCACUUCCCCCUCUUUUUCUUGCUCCCUCUCUCGCCAUGUAACACAUCUGUUCGCCCUUUGCCUUCUACCAUGAGUAAAAGCUUCCUGAGGCCUCACCAAACCUGAGUAGAUGCUGGUGUCAUGCUGGUACAGCCUGCAGAACUGUGAACCAAAUAAGCCUCUUUUCUUUUUAAAUUACC
rnacentral:lncRNA from 1 species